AUCGCUUCUCGGCCUUUUGGCUAAGAUCAAGUGUAGCAAUUAUAUUUUCACAGUAUUAAAAAAGAGCCAUGGGCUCGGCGCCUGUGGCUCAAGCGGCUAAGGCGCCAGCCACAUACACCUAAGGUGGCAGGUUCGAAUCCCC
rnacentral:snRNA from 1 species